UAGAACAACUCUAGAGGAAAAGCUGGGCCGGAAAAGUGGGAACCUCUAGGGCGCCGCCCUGUUGCUACUGGUCAAUGUGGCCAGCGCAAUUACUAUUGAAAGAGCUGAGAACACGUACAGGUCACCUUAUGCUUUGUCACCUAAAAACGCAUACCUGAUGGCUUUAUGAAGGUGGUACGUUAAUAUUAAGUUUACAGAAAGCGAUCGCUAAGUCCGUGACUUAUGUAAAUCACGAUGUACGCAUUCAUGCAAUAAAGGAUGACGCGAAUUUCGGUUUCGAAUCUGUUUUUUGGAUGCGUAGUAGUUUCGUUUGACAUGCGAUCGCGCGUCGACAUCGGACGCUAUGACACACUCGUGCCUUAUGUGCCACCGAAGCCCCGAAGUGGUCUGGCAUAUACCUUCACAUAUAUGCAAUGGCAAGCCCUUCCGUGUGUUCCAAAGACAAUGCCUACGCCUAGCCACAGCAGCUCCCUCAUACAGACUCCGCAAACCAAGAGACCGUGGAGGCAAAUGCAGGCAGCCAGCACACCUCGAACAGCCACCUUGACUGCGGGUGUGUCACCCUAGUCGCCAAGGAAACAUUUGAGGGAAAGUGACAGGCAAUGUGAACAGCCACUCCUCCAUGUAAACAAUACUCUUUCUCUCGGAUGACUCC